GGGGAAGGGAAAUAACAAUCGAAAUGUAAAUAAGAAAUACUCAAGUUAAUAAAGAUGGAAAAAAUAAAUAAAAUAUUGUUCUUGCCGGUAGCUUGUAAAAUCACACAAGGGUUGCCAGCACAAGGAGGGACACAUCUCUGUCAUUCCUUCUAGUAUCCUAAAUUGAUUAUACCGUAAAGCUGUUUAUGUGUUGAUACUCAUAUGAGAGCAAUGAACCCCACAUUUUCUUUUCUUCAACUUUUAGUUUUGUAAAGGAUAUGGGUAAAAUCUUUACCCUUUCAAGCUUUAUCACUUCAUAUUGUCUUUGUUCUUUAGAAAAUCUUAUUCUUUAAUGGAUACAAUUAUACUUACUUGUGUCACUAGAGAAAAUUAGCUGAGCUUGAAAACAGGCUGUAAAAGGAAUUUAGACAUAGUUUUCAUAAGAGAUCUUUUUACGUAAUCACAUUGACUUUAUAGCCACCAGCAAGAACAGUGUUUUAUAAUCUUUCUUAAGGAGAAAGCAAUGUUUGUGUAACAAUGUGUGUGGGUGACUUUUAUCCAUAUAAUAGACAUUACUUAGCAAAUUCAUUUGUCAGACACUUAAUCUGCUGAAGUGUAGAAAAAUUAAUGUUUUAAAUAUAUUCCCAGGAAGUUUUAUAUUAUAACAUUAUUGAAAGAGUUAAUGUUAGCUAAUAUUACAUGGCUAUUUUAUUCAUUCUUGGCCUUCAGGCAAGUUACUAAAUGUGAAUUUUAUAUUGAAUGAAUGCAAGCAGUACAGUGCCUUCCGUGACCGUCAAGCAGUAGCCCCAGCUACUGGACACCUAUAUUUCUAUGCUAUUGGGUUUCGAUCAAAGCAGAAAUAAGCCUGUCUUUUCCAUUCCAAGUUCAACAGUGGUAAGGCUAAGAAGAGCCCAGACCAAAACUAUCACAGUGCACAGAACGGUUAAAUCCACAGUGGAAGAAACAAUAGUAGUCUCUCAAGAAGAAAGAAGAAGCUGAAUGUGAGGGAAAUUGUCAAGAGAUAGACAACAAAUAGCAGAUGGACUCACUCUGUUCCAUAAAAUAUAAAAUACAGAUGUAUACUAGGAAGGUUGAUUUCCAGAGAGUUUUUUCAGAAAAAUGGAGAAGCCAUGGGAAAAUCAUCAGAGUGGUGAUGAGGAUUAGAGGCGGCUGGAACUAAAAGGACUGGUUAGGAGUUAUCAUCUGCUUCUCAAUUCACAUAUAAUCUUGUGUCAAAAUAUGUUUAUCAAAUGAGUGAUUUUUAUUGAAAAGUCAUAUGCAUACGAGCAAGACUAAACAGAUUCAGCAAAAAAGCAUUUACACACAAACUUACACACACAUUGAUACAUACAUACAUACAUACAUACAUACAUACAUAUAUAUAUAUAUAUUGUGUGUGGGGGAGUAAAACAAUCAAAAUUAGGUAGAAAGUUCAUGGAGUUGAGAGUGGGAGUGGCCAUGGGAGGAACAAGGAUGGAGGAAUGUUGAGCAGAGAUUAUGUAAAUGCAGAAUACUAUGCAGAUAUAACAUUUUCCAAAAAUUAAUACAUUCCUCUUUAGCAGUUGAUAAUAAGUCCCCAUUAUUGAAGACAACAAUUGCACAACUCUAUAAACUAUAAAUAUCAAGUAGUUUCCUACAUAGAGUCUUCAUGUUUGAUAUUUCAGUGUUGUUGGUUCAAGACCUACUGUUCAAAUUCUCAACGGAAAAAUGCUUUAUCUACAACGGUGUCCUGCCUACAAGAUAUGCUAAGGCAGUGGUGGCACAAAGCUUGUGGAUUAAACACCCAAUAUCUGAUUUGACAUAAGGCCCAUUCUUUGAGAUGAAUCCAUAACUGACACCGCUUGACACCUGGGUCAAGAUGGCCCAGGGAGCUAGGGUAAAAUCAAAUAAUACUGGUCUACAAAAGGAAAACAAAAUGUAGUGAUAAAAUGACUUCUCAUGAUAAAUUGCUACAGUUAGACCACAGCCUUGUUCAACUAUCAGCAGAGAAGUUUCCUCCUGUUGACAUUGGGGAUAAACACAAAUACCUAACUCCUGACAUUAUUGAAAGUGAGACAUCUUGAAACACUCAGACCUAAAUGGGACGUCUUCAUCAAACACCUCUCCUCAGUUCUCAAGAAAAACCACAGAAUAGGACACUGAAAAAGUUUAAGAGUCAGAGGGAACAGAGGAAGCCAGGAGUACAAGACACUCUAAGUCAACAUGAGUAAAGCUCACAGGAACUCACAACGACUAAAGCUCUCUGCACAGGUCCGCACCAGGUCCUCUGCAUAUAUAUCAUGGUUUCCAGUUUAGUAUUUUUAUGGAAUUCUUGGGUGUGCAAAUGAGCAGGUCCCUGAUUCUUGUGCCUUUUCUUGGGCUCUUUUCCUUCUGUGCAUUUGUCUUUGAUGUGAUAGCUUUUUAUCUUAUUGUAUUUUGUUUUGUGAAUGAGUGAAGGAAUUAAUGACUGACUGAGUGAAAACGUAGCUGCUAUGGUAGAGGUUAACAACCGAACUGUUACUUACACCUGUUGGGAGAGGGGAAAUGGGUUUUCUCAGAGUAACAGUUUAUCAACCUCUUUAGUAGAGGAUUUGUGCUUAAAUGUAGUGGACAAAGAGAAAACUGGAUGCCAGAGAUGUGUGUGUGUGUGUGUGUGUGUGUGUGUGUGUGUGUGUGUGUGUGUGUUUUUGGUUCUCUCUUUUUCUUUCUUUCCUUUUGGAUAUGCUUUUUUCUUUUCUAUUUUUUCUUGAGUGGGAGAUGUUGUUGCAUUUGGUUUUUGUUUCUUUUAUUUUUGGGUUUUCCAAGGCAGAGUUUCUCUGUGUAGCCCUGGCUAUCCUGGAACCUCCAUGUUGCUCUCUAGACCAGCCUGACCUAGAACUAACAGAAAUUGCCCUGCUUCUGUUUCCUAAGUGCUGAGAUUAAAGCCAAUUUCAUUUGAUCUGUGCUGGAUUAAUUACACAAUCCCUAACCUUAUUUGUAUCUCUUAUGAUGUCAUAGUUUCCUAUUUUCCCAGUUUAUUGACUGUUCUAUUUGUUUUUGCUUUGUUUUCUGAAGGUAUUAAUCAAACAAUAUUUCAUUUUAAAAAUAUUUCUUUUAGACACAAUUUCAUCCACAACAGUAUAAAGCUUAGCCUCUUGUUCUUAUGUCAGUGUCUGGCUCAAAAAAGAAACCUUGGGUGUUUUGCAAGUUGCACAUGGAGAUGGUUUGAGAGGUCUAGAGUUUAAGGCUCUUCCUAAAGAUUACUGACUUAGACACUGAUCUCCCUGGCUUCCCUUUUUGCUAGUUCAUUGUCUUCCCUAAGAUACUUUGACACAUUCUUUUGACUUCUGAUAGGCUUUCUGCCUGAGGUGUGAAGGGCUUUAAAUAUAAUACUUUUAGAUUUUUUUUUGAGCUAAUCAUUCCUUCAUCUUCUUUCUAAGUGUUGUCUCAGUUUUUAUUCCUUAUCAUCUAACUCUUCGGCAAGCAUGUGUGUUCACCUUUCUUUGAAUUUUAUUGUAUCUUCGUGAGAAUUUCAGGCAAAGAUGAAAAUAAAUGCUGCAUUAAGUGUGCCAUGUUAAUCAGAAGGCUUGUCCCAACUUUCAAUCCUGAUUUUUUUCAAUACUUGCUUUAUACUGGAUUGUAUCCACACAUUCUUAUGUCCACUGAUUGAUCUCUUUUAUUUUCCUUUACCCACAUAUGUAAACUGAUUGUCUGUUUCCCUGUACCCAUGGCUGUGCGCUUUGAAUUCAAACAAGGCUUCAAAAUUUCACCUGCCCUGUCCAAUCCGUUGGGAUUGCUAUGCUAUUUAUUGCUAUGCUAAUAAAUUACAUAAGUCUUAUUUCAGCACUAAACUUUAUUUACUCGUAAUUCUACUUCCUUCUACUUAGGUUCAACUAAUCUUCUUGAACAGAUUAUUACAGUGCUUGUUUCUCUCUCUCUCUCUCUCUCUCUCUCUCUCUCUUUCUCAGCUAACUUUCAAAUCACAUAUCUGUUUCCUACCAUUUUAAAUAUGUUAUUGCACAUAUCUUAACUAGCGUUUUACUGCUGCAAAAAGACACCAUGACCAAGAUAACUCUUAUAAGGACAACAUUUAAUGGGACCUGGAUUACAGGUUCAGAGGUUCAUUCCAUUGUCUUCAAGGUGGGGACAUGGUAGAAUCCAGGCAGUCCUGGUGCAGGAGGAGCUGAGAAUUCUACAUUUUCACCUGAAGGCCGAUAGGAGAAGACUGACUUCCAGACAGCUAUGACUAGAAUCUAAAAACCCACGCUCAGUGACACACUUGCUACCAAAAGGCCACACUUACUCCAACAAUGCCACAUUUCGUAAUAGUGCCACUCCCUGGACCAAGUAUACUCAGACCACCACAGUAUGGUAUUGAUUUAAAGGUUUGACUCUUCUACUCUCUUCAAUCUCUAUUUGGAUUGAAUACAUGUGAAUCAGAAAAUUGGGGAGGGGAUUUGGUGGAGGUAAGGAACUGAUCUUAUGAUAUUAUUCAGUUUUAAGAAAGGGAAGACCAUUGUAAUCUCAUCUGAAGAUGAAAUGCCCACAGUUUUCAUCUAGUGGGUGACUGUGGGAAUCUCAAAGCAGAAGUACUUCUCAGUCAGUAUGAAAUAUUGAAGCAUCAUUGACUAACUAAAGAGUGCAGGCAUUCCGGCUAGAUGCCAAAUCAUAGAACUUCCUGAUCCUACAUUUUUGUUCAAUGCCCUGGAUUGUGUGAUUUUAAUCAAGGAAAAGAUGAUUGCCAUCUACAAAGUACCUAUCAUGAGGAUAAAGGGAUACCAUAGCACUGAAUUCAAAAAAGGCACAUCCUAUCGUCCUACCUAUAAAAACAUAAAUAUCUACUAGGAAAAAUUCAGCUUGAGUUUUAAAGAUAAAAUGACUAGGCCUGUCAAUAUGUUAAAGUGGCUUAUCAAUGAUAAUAGAAAUUACCCUGGAUGACACAGAAUGGAGGUGUGAGGUAAAAUUAAAUGUAGAAUAUAAGUUAAUCUUUUUGCAGACCUGAGCUUAUGCUCUGAAAUUGCAUUUUGUUUAAAUGACAUUUGUCUUCACAAACAUUCUUUGUGACAGCUCUGUCCUGCUAAUGACAAUGAGGACACUUCCUGCAUCCAUUUCAGCUCUCCUUUGGUCUAAGCAAACUCACUGUUUCACAUUGCACUUGUGAGGAGGAACAUUCUGUUUCUCUGAGUAAUGCAAACAUGUAACUAAUUCUUUUUUUGAAUUUCCAUUUUAUUUCAAAAUCUUAGAACAUAGCAAUCAUUUUCUUUAGAGCAUUUUAAUGCUUUGGAAAGUACAAAUACAAAAGUUUGAAAAUGUAUGAAGUCAUGCAAAAAUGACCAGUUUAGACAGAAUUUUAUUUUCCUACUUUAAGUAAGGUUACUGUAUUCUCUCAUAUGUAACACUGUUUCCUGAGUCAUAUAAGGGCCUUAGACCACCUUUCUAUGUCUUUAUACAUUGUUUCGUGUUGACAGUAUUUGGUAACAGUGUGAUGUAGAGAAAAAGGGUCAGAACUGAGCAGCAAGCAUUUCUGGUGUCAUUCAACUCCACUAAAACUUUUGUAAGUUUCCCAACCUUCAAGUAUCACUUUUGCUACUUAAAUGAUUGGGAAAAUAGUACUACAUUCAAGCACUGAUUGCAAGAUUACUUUAUAUGAUGUAGCUGUUUCUGGAAUGCUCUCUAACAUGUGGAAAGCACUCUCUUGGCUAACUAUUAGUAUAAUAUAUCACAACGUCAGUCUCUUAUCAAAGAUACCUCUGAAAAGAUGAUUACAACUCUGCAAGUUAGGCAUAGAGGUGUAAGACUGAUGCAAUUAGUUGAAAUGUCAGUCAGUUCACUACACAAUCGUGCCAUCCUCCUUCUGAUCAGAUUCUGACUGUGUGCACAGACUUUUAAAACAUGACAAUAGCCUUAAAUUUACUUAGAUUCUGGAAAGGAAGGCUAUAAGACAGUAUUUAUGUGGAAGUUAUUAUUUUAUUCACAUUGAUAUUUCCCUAAUUGUCCUUUUCAAAGUUUACUCAGAUAUCUAAAUAUUUGACUGUUGGCAUAAAGUCAACGAAACGCAAGGUAAAUGAGCUCAGUCUUUGUGUUGGGGUGAUCAGUAUCCCUUACAUGACUGAGUAAGCCACCUGCUCUUUCUUAUUGCCUAAUUGGGUUGAGAAAUAGGAGAGCCUCCAGGACAAACUGGGGACAAAGGCCAGGGAGUAGUUUCCACAUGGAAAAGUGUUCUUGUCCUCACACUGCCCAUGCUGGCCUGAUUUCUGGGAAGGUUACUAGAGAUUAUGAAUGUCUGGUACCAGAAGAGCCUCAUGUCCAUAUGGUGUGUCUGGGUAAUUUUGAAAUGGCUAAACUCUUGGGAACUUAAAAAGUUAUUAAUAGAAAAGGACAAAAAAAUCCAUAGGAGUUUAUGUUACAACUUUUAGGAAACUAUGAUUGAACAGACUUAGAAUAUAGGCUCUCCACAAAUAAGAAUGGAGUAGGUGAAAACAGGAAAAUAAAGUUUUAUUUCGACAUUUUUUCAUUUGUAAUUUUAAAUAUUUACAGAAUUUUCUUGCUGGGAUUUAAUGGCUUUUAAUAAUAAUGUAAUACCAAUUUUCUGUCUUAUUUAUUAUUCAUCCAUCUUCUGUUUUUUGUUUAUUGUUUCCUUAGGCCUAAUCAUGAGUGACAGUUUUCCGUGCGUUUGUCAUUAACUGUAAGGGAGUAUGGUUUUAUCUUCAGUAAAUCAGAUAAAAAUAUACUAAGAACUUUUUAAACAUUGUAUUACCUAAGAAAGCUGCUAUAUACACUUUCCUAUAGAUACUUUUAGUUUAAAAAAUUUAGUUUUAAAAAUUAAAGUGC
ensembl:lncRNA